rnacentral:lncRNA from 1 species
CUUGAACUCUGAGCCAGGAUAACAUUCAUAGUCAUUAAAUCAGCGGGUACUGACUGAACGCUACUGUGUAUCCGUCACUGUGUUAGGUGCGGGAGGAGGUAACAGCCCAGCCCAGAUGUAGCAUCUGAACCCUUUGAAUCAAUAGAUAAGACUGAUAUUGAAUAAGGAGAUAUAUGUUAUUAUUGAAAGACAGCUGUGAGAAACAUUAGGAGGUGCACAGUGUUCUCUAUUUGAAAAAGCUUACUGAGAGAGUGUCUGAUCUCAUUCCCUAAUUCUUCACAGGAAGAAGAAAGAAACACGCAGAAAGGCCCUGGGGAAAACGUAGCCUGGCUUAGGAAUUAGAAGGUGCCUACCAAGGCUAGGGAGGACAGAAUGGGUUUGAGCCCGGCAGCUGGAGAAGAACCUCAGCUUGCACUUCUGACUGACAGAGAAAGGAAAGACUCGAAGGAGGAUCGCUUCUCUAAGCCGUGCAGCCAAAAACCAGUGCUGGGGUGUGUCAUCCAAAAGUUUAUACCUGCCUGUCAGGCUUCCCCACCUUUGUCUGGAACAGCACUUUUAUUUAGGAGAGAUGAUCGUAGUGUGCCUGUCCAUCAUGUGGUCCUAUUGAACACAGGAACCAGGAGAUCCAGGCAGAGUGUGAGAACACUCUCUGGACACAGCAACUGGCCAAGAAGAACUGGUCAGGUUCCUUUUAAAGACUCGACACAGAUGAGAGGAAAAGAAGUGCCAUCUUUGAGUCAGCAUGGGACAGUCUGGGGCUGCUCUGCUAUGGGCAGAAGUUGUGUGCCCCAAAAUGGAGCUAACAUAGAGAGAGGGGCACAGAAUGUAGAGAGCAAGACAAAGACUCAAGUCCGGAUGCUGUAGGAUCUACAUUUGGGGAAAGCUCAUCUCUCAGUUGGUUCCCUUGAUUUAGUAAAGACUGAUGUGAGUUUAUUUCCAGUUUACUUCUUGCGAUGUCGUGGAGGCCAUGAAGGUUGUAGUUCUUGUUGAACUUUCCAUGCCCAGGGCUUAGUGCUCACCUCUGCUCAGAAUGAGCAGUUCCCACUGAACCAAUAAAUGUACCAGCCUCACGGCUCUUCACACUAUCUCUGCUUUCUUUGGUAACUCCAUGCUAGAAAUGCUUUAUAGCCUUUUCCAUGGUCAAAGCAGACAGAGAGAGCAUUGGUGAAGCAUACAGGCUCCAGGGUAGGCGAGGCUAGGCUCAGAUAAAAAGGGAAAACCUUGCUAAGUUGUAAAUUCUUCCCAGUCCAAUUGUCCUAUCUAUAGAAUGAGGACAGUAUCAUUAUCAUUUAUGAAGAAAUCCUCAUCUUUGUCGCUGCAUUUUUUUUUCUUCAUUUGUUUAGUAAUUUGUACCUGCCACCCUGGUACGGGGUAGGUAUUCAUCUGGAGCAAAUCUAGUGGUUAAAACAACGAAAGACGCCUCACAUCUAUGGAAGGCUAGUUUCCAUAGUUAAACCUGUGCUGUAGACCUAGAAAGGCAUCUAGGGCUGACCUCCUCUUACCCUCCCUGGCACUGUCUGCACAGCUCUUCUGAUUGGUGACUCAGCCCAGAUGCCUUCCAAUAAAUCUCUUCGGUUUGUUUGUGUACAACGCAACCAAGGAGCCCGAAUGAAUAAACCCACCUCAAAAGCUUGUACCGAGAAUCAGGCAAGAUGCUACACGUGAAGCAAGGAGCACAGUCCUGGAAAAUGAAUACGUCAUCAGUCAGGGUUACUCACUUUCAUUGCGGCAAUCUGACUGUUUACUUGAGUCCUACUCAGUUAAGCAGAUUCCUCUUUGUUGCUGAGACAUCAACUGCAUGGAGCGGCCCGUGGCUUCUUACUCAUGUCUUCAGAGAUAGUAAGGAUCAGAUGGUGAGAACAGCUAUCUGUCUGUCUUUCUCAAGAUAACGUCUUGCUACAUAGCCCCGAUUGUCCUUGAACUUGCAAUUCUCCUCUGUCAGCCUUGGACUGUUGGGAUUGCAUGAUGCUUACUCACACCAUGCCUCGUUGAGAAGUGUCUUUACAGAAAGCAGGCAAGGAGGAUUGUUAGCUUCAGGAUAGCCUGGGCUACAAUAUAUACCUUAGAUAUAUAUUUAAAUGAGUCAAAAGAGAAGAUGAUGGAAAGACAAUGGCACAGUUUGUAUGACAUGACCACCAUUUAAGAACUGACAGCUCCUAGAAAAUGGCAGAGUCAAGGGCUAUUGUUCCCUGAAAUACCCGGAGGCCAGUCACCUACUCAUGGUGGGUUUCUGGAUCUCUGGUCUUCAGAAUUCCUACUGAAUAACUUUCUACUGUUUGAAGCCAUGAAGUUCAUGACUUGUUAUAGUAGCCACAGGAAGUGGAUAUAUACAUUAUCCUGAAUGACUUUGUCAAAUGUAUUGAGACCCCAGACAUCCAACCGCUAGAGUGAAGAGAAACGUAACUCAAUUUGUAGAAAGUAUUCAACUCUUUCCUACUUUGCUAAUGUUUUCAAAAACUGGGCUGUCACUGGGUGUAUUGUUACCUGCUCUGGUGUCACAGACUGCCACCGUAACCCUUUGGGUACAAGUUCCUGGAGCCACAUGCCUUCCAGAGCUGCAGUUCCCAAAGCUGUAAAGGGGCUACUGGGGUUGACGCCAAUACUAAAGCCACCUUCCAUCCCACCACUUUCUCAUGGGUGAGUGAGAAUCUAGUAGAAUACAUGCUUGAUGGGCUUCGUGGUUUUCUUCUCCUCCUUGGGAUGGGCCAAGUGAGAUCAGAGUCCAAGAGAAGGAUGGACAAUGCUGAUGCCCUUUUCCUCUUUACACUUCAUGCCUCUUGACCCAGCAACCAUUUUUCCUUUUUCUGAUACUUUUAAAUAGUAGAGAGGUAUUUGCAAAUACAACUUAGGCAAGGUCCUUGCUCCACAUUGCUCAGAGUUACUGUUGGAAUACUCUUUGACUGCUCUUCUUUUCCUGGACUUCGUUAGUGUUAAAAGUCUGACAUCUUCUAGAAAUUCUUUAGCUGCACUUCAUUGCACUUACAGAUUUGUAAAAAAAUAACCAUUUGAGAAUUUCAUACCAUGUGUUUUUUAUUGUUCAACUUCUUCCCCCAACUCCUCCCAAAUCAAUUCCUCUUCCCUAUGCAUCUACCUUUGUGUUUUCUCUUUCUUUCUUUUUUUUAAACUCACCAAGUUGAAUUUGUGCUGCCCAAAUUUUCUUAAAUGUGUGGCUUUCCACUGGAGUAUGGCCAACCUACCAGGGACUAUAUUCUUAAAGACCACUUUCCUGAAGCUAUUAUUUGCCAAUAGCUCCUUAGCUAGGGAUGGAAAUUUAUAUCAACCUCCCUUCUCCGUGAGAAAUUUUGCUGGCGAGAGCUUGUACACAACAGGUCUUGUGCGAGCAGACACAACUGCUGUGAAUUCAUAUAUACAGCUGCUGUGCUUCGUUAAGAAAAUAGUUUCAGCCGGGUGGGAGGGGCACAUGCCUUUAAUCCCAGCACUCAGGAAGCAAAAGAAGGUGGAUCUCUGUGAGU